rnacentral:rRNA from 1 species
GGAUUAGAUACCCUGGUAGUCCACGCCGUAAACGAUGUCUACUAGCCGUUGGGAUCCUUGAGGUCUUAGUGGCGCAGCUAACGCAGUAAGUAGACCGCCUGGGGAGUACGGCCGCAAGGUUAAAACUCAAAUGAAUUGACGGGGGCCCGCACAAGCGGUGGAGCAUGUGGUUUAAUUCGAAGCAACGCGAAGAACCUUACCAGGUCUUGACAUCCCGAGAAGUUACGAGAGAUCGUUUCGUGCCUUCGGGAACUCGGUGACAGGUGCUGCAUGGCUGUCGUCAGCUCGUGCCG